GGCUUAGUGGUGUAGCUUGGUUAUUAUACCCGGGCGAAUGCUCUAGGAGGUCGUGGGUUCGAAUCCCACCUAUGCCU